GAUGAACGCUAGCGGCAGGCUUAACACAUGCAAGUCGAGGGGUAUAGUUCUUCGGAACUAGAGACCGGCGCACGGGUGCGUAACGCGUAUGCAAUCUGCCUUUCACAGAGGGAUUGCCCAGAGAAAUUUGGAUUAAUACCUCAUAGUAUUAUAGACUGGCAUCGGUUUAUAAUUAAAGUCACAACGGUGAAAGAUGAGCAUGCGUCCCAUUAGCUAGUUGGUAAGGUAACGGCUUACCAAGGCGACGAUGGGUAGGGGUCCUGAGAGGGAGAUCCCCCACACUGGUACUGAGACACGGACCAGACUCCUACGGGAGGCAGCAGUGAGGAAUAUUGGUCAAUGGACGCAAGUCUGAACCAGCCAUGCCGCGUGCAGGAUGACGGUCCUAUGGAUUGUAAACUGCUUUUGUACGAGAAGAAACACUCCAACGUGUUGGAGCUUGACGGUAUCGUAAGAAUAAGGAUCGGCUAACUCCGUGCCAGCCGCCGCAGUAAAAC
rnacentral:rRNA from 1 species